CCUACGGGGGGCUGCAGUGGGGAAUAUUGGACAAUGGGCGCAAGCCUGAUCCAGCCAUACCGCGUGGGUGAAGAAGGCCUUCGGGUUGUAAAGCCCUUUUGUUGGGAAAGAAAUCCAGCCGGCUAAUACCUGGUUGGGAUGACGGUACCCAAAGAAUAAGCACCGGCUAACUUCGUGCCAGCAGCCGCGGUAAUACGAAGGGUGCAAGCGUGACUCGGAAUUACUGGGCGUGAUGGGUGCGUAGGGGUGUGAAAGCCCUGGGCUCAACCUGGGAACUGCAGUGGAUACUGGGCGACUAGAGUGUGGUAGAGGGUAGCGGAAUUCCUGGUGUAGCAGUGAAAUGCGUAGAGAUCAGGAGGAACAUCCAUGGCGAAGGCAGCUACCUGGACCAACACUGACACUGAGGCACGAAAGCGUGGGGAGCAAACAGGAUUAGAUACCCUUGUAGUC
rnacentral:rRNA from 1 species